CCUACGGGUGGCAGCAGUGAGGAAUAUUGGACAAUGGGCGAGAGCCUGAACCAGCCAAGUAGCGUGAAGGAUGACUGCCCUACGGGUUGUAAACUUCUUUUAUAAAGGAAUAAAGUGAGGCACGUGUGCCUUUUUGUAUGUACUUUAUGAUUAAGGAUAGGCUAACUCUGUGCCAACAGCCGCGGUAAUACGGAGGAUCCGAGCGUUAUCCGGAUUUAUUGGGUUGAAAGGGAGCGUAGAGGGGUUGUUAAGUUCGUUGUGAAAGUUUGCGGCCCAACCCUAAAAUUGCAAUUGAUACUGGCAGACUAGAGUACAGUUGAGGUAGGCGGAAUUCGUGGUGUAGCGGUGAAAUGCUUAGAUAUCACGAAGAACACCGAUUGCGAAGGCAGCUUACUAGACUGCCACUGACAUUGAUGCUCGAAAGUGUGGGUAUCAAACAGGAUUAGAUACCCCUGUAGUC
rnacentral:rRNA from 1 species